rnacentral:rRNA from 1 species
ACGAACGCUGGCGGCAUGCUUAAUACAUGCAAGUCGAACGAGAAAGUUCCUUCGGGAGCGAGUAUAGUGGCGCACGGGUGCGUAACACGUAGGUGACCUACCUUUUAGUCGGGGACAACAUCGGGAAACUGAUGCUAAUACCGGAUGUGGUAAUCAAUUUUGAAAGUAGAUUACUAAAGGCAGCCUCUGCAUAUGCAGUUGCUAGAAGAAGGGCCUGCGGAACAUUAGCUUGAUGGUGAGGUAAUGGCUUACCAUGGCUACGAUGUUUAGGGGGUCUGAGAGGAUGAUCCCCCACACUGGAACUGAGACACGGUCCAGACUCCUACGGGAGGCAGCAGUAGGGAAUAUUGCGCAAUGGGCGAAAGCCUGACGCAGCAAUGCCGCGUGAGUGAGGAAGGCCUUCGGGUUGUAAAGCUCUGUCAUACGGGAAGAACUGGGAUUGUAUUAAUAGUACUUUCUCUUGACGGUACCGUAGAAGGAAGCACCGGCUAACUUCGUGCCAGCAGCCGCGGUAAUACGAAGGGUGCAAGCGUUGUUCGGAUUUAUUGGGCGUAAAGCGCGCGCAGGCGGAUGUGCAAGUCAGAUGUGAAAUCUCGGGGCUCAACCCCGAAACUGCGUCUGAAACUGUUCAUCUAGAAUCAUAUAGGGGGUAGGGGAAUUUCACAUGUAGGGGUAAAAUCCGUAGAGAUGUGAAGGAACACCCGGUGGCGAAGGCGCCUUCCUGGACAUGUAUUGACGCUGAGGCGCGAAAGCGUGGGGAGCAAACAGGAUUAGAUACCCUGGUAGUCCACGCCGUAAACGAUGUGCACUAGAUUUGGGGGGAAUUGACCCCUUCCGAGUCGCAGCUAACGCAUUAAGUGCUCCGCCUGGGGAGUACGGUCGCAAGACUAAAACUCAAAGGAAUUGACGGGGGCCCGCACAAGCGGUGGAUUAUGUGGUUUAAUUCGAAGCAACGCGCAGAACCUUACCUAGACUUGAAAUCCUACGAACCCGAUGUAAUUUUCGGGGUGCUCGCAAGAGAAUGUAGUGACAGGUGCUGCAUGGCUGUCGUCAGCUCGUGUUGUGAAAUGUUGGGUUAAGUCUCGCAACGAGCGCAACCCCUAUCCUUAGUUGCCAGCAUUAAGUUGGGCACUCUAGGGAGACUGCCUGGGCAACCAGGAGGAAGGUGGGGAUGACGUCAAGUCCUCAUGGCCCUUAUGUCUAGGGCUACACACGUAAUACAAUGGUGCAUACAAAGGGAAGCGACCCAGCGAUGGUGAGCAAAUCUCAAAAAGUGCAUCUCAGUCCGGAUUGAAGUCUGCAACUCGACUUCAUGAAGUUGGAAUCGCUAGUAAUCGUAGAUCAGCAUGCUACGGUGAAUCCGUUCCCGGGCCUUGUACACACCGCC